rnacentral:misc_RNA from 1 species
GUGAAUCAUCGAAUUUUUGAACGCAUAUUGCACUAUCUGGUAUUCCGGAGAGUAUGCCUAUUUGAGGGUCAUUUUAAAAAAUAUAAAUUUCAAGAUUUCUCGAAAUUUAAAAUGGGGGGUCCAUUUAUUGUGGUCGCAUAAAAUCGAAGACAAGCUCAUUUUCUUGGGUCGCGUGAUACUUUCAGAUACCUCGUGACUUAACCAGGAGUCA